rnacentral:misc_RNA from 1 species
GCACCUACCGAUUGAAUGGUCCGGUGAGGCCUCGGGAUUGUGGCGAGUUCCCUUUAUUGGGAGUUUGUCGCGAGAACUUGUCUAAACCUUAUCAUUUAGAGGAAGGUGAAGUCGUAACAAGGUUUCCGUAGGUGAACCUGCAGAAGGAUCAAGAUCGGAAGAGCACACGCCUGAAUCCCAGCCACGUGGCCUUACUUCGUAUGCCGUCUUCCGCCUGCAAAAAAAAAAAAAACGAUCCACCCUUCCUUAUUUCUCAUGCUCAUUCCUCAUACUCCUU